CCAGAGAGAGGAUGGAUUCCUGGGCCGUCUUAGACAGGUCAGAGUGCACUCCGACCUCCCAGUCCCUUUUUGCAGCUGACACCGCACCUUUCCAGCCCCGGGCCUGCUGUGUACUGACCGCCCACUGCGGUUGCCUAGGAAACCCUCUCUCUCCGCCUCCCUUGACCUCUGGGUCACGAAGGGGAUGAAGAGGGCGGGGAAAUCAGCCGCCCAUCCUUGUCUGCAUCACGUGGUGGCAAACUACAACCAAUUAACAUAAGCAGGGAAGACCCUCCCCCGCCCUCUUCCGGGAGACCUUCCCCUCCCACCUUUGCUACGGCUCCUGGGGAGCGGUGGGAGCCAGCCGCUGCCUAGUUCUUAGUCUUGGGUGUAUCACUUCACUUUGUUUCCUUCCGAGGACAGUGACAGUUUGUGGGCUAGGCGGUGGGGACCUGGUCCUGGCAUUUUCCAGUGAAAGUUUUUGACACCUGGUGCCUCGAAGUCAGCAGGAUUAACUCCCCAGCAUUGCGUGGAGCACUGAGGUCACAAGACAGCCCCCAGAUCCGCUCCCUCCCGCAGCCGCCAAGAGCCCGAUUUCCUCCACUUAAAGCAAACAAAAUGUACUAUGAAGACUGGGAUUUAUAAAGCUCCAAUUAACAACCAAUGACUUACUACGAGUAUCUAAUCCCCACUCGGCAAGAUGAAGACCUUCAAACUUCUUAAUGUUUUCUCAUCAGGGCAAGGAUUAAGUGAACUCCACUGGCCAUCCUUUCUGAGUACUAAUCUCAUUUAUGAGUGUUCUUUCCUCAUGAUCUAACCUCCCCAAAGCCCUUCCUCCUAAUUGCCAUGGAGUUAGAGUUCCAGCAUAAGAACUCGGGGAGACACAAACAUUCUGGUCAUUGCAUUCCACCCCUAGUUCUCUUCAUGGUGUCAUUUUCACAAGCUUACCUCCAUCCCAACAGCCACAAAGGCAAGCAUCAACUCAGAGCCAAAGUCAAGAGAUUUCAUAUUAUGUAAAACAAACAUAAGUGAAUGUCAAGGCAAAUUCCUGGUUGGCUGUAGAUCUGUAAAAUAAGUCAAGCAAUAUGCUUCUCAAAUAAAACAAUGGGAGCAGGCAAAGGAAGACCUUCUCAUUCUGAGAAGGAGGCAUAGGAAAGAAGAAUAAUUAGUAUGUACCAUUUGAACCCGAGACCAAACAAGGAAAACAUUAAACUUCCAGGUACAAGACUAA